UUAGUUGCCAGCGGGUAAUGCCGGGGACUUUAAGGRAACUGCCAGUGGUAARCUGGAGGAAGGUGGGGAUGAUGUCAAGUCAGCAUGGCCCUUAUGGGGUGGGCUACACACGUGCUACAAUGGUGACUACAAUAGGNUGCAAUGUCGBAAGGCUGAGSUAAUCCGUCAAAAGUCAUCUYAGUUCGGAUUGUCCUCUGCAACUCGAGGGCAUGAAGYAGGAAUCGCUAGUAAUCGUGGAUCAGCAUGCCACGGUGAAUACGUUCUC
rnacentral:rRNA from 1 species